UUUCUUAUUAAUUUUAUAAAUAUAUAUUCAGUGCCUGGAAAUACUCCCCAGAUGUCAUUGUGAACCAAGAGAACAGUUCCCAUCUUCACAGAGCUCAGUUAAUUAAGCCAAUUAAGCAACUAAUUACAAUUUAACCAGUUAAAUGUGUACUUAAAAAUGAAAUGAGCAACAUGUGAGGCCUGAUGAAGAGAAGGUAAACUAGUCUUGGGGUCAGGGAAGCUCACCAAAAGUUAGAAUAUUUAACCCAAGGCCUGACGGAUGCAGGCAGGACCAGCCAGCCUUGUGGCUAUGUAUCCAUACCAGCCCUUGGAAUGUGUACUCUGGGGCAUGACAUUUACAUUUUCUUCUCAUCUCUGAAUUGUGCUUUGUAAUUAGAGUCCCCUGGGACAGUGACCCUGGCAGCUUGACCCCACAGACUGUUGAAUCCUGCCACCUUUUCACUCAAAGCACAGGCGCUUAGAUCUUCCCUCCCUGGGGCCCUGGACUCCCUGGCAGAACCUGGGAGUGGGAAGGAUGGUAUAGAUGUCCCCACCUUGGUCUGGCCCUGCCAUAGCCCACACAGUGGGCUGCUCUGCAGAGCUGAGAGUCUAAGUCCCAGCCCCCAUCUGGGGACACUGGAGUGGAGGGCUAGAUGCCUUUCAGUUUUGCUUGUUCACUAUGGUUGUUUGCAGUAGCAGGUUUAUGUGAUGGAGAUGUACCUGGCUCCCCUUUUUCAUAUCUAGCUGGGCCACAGGAUGGUGACUGUUGGUGGUGAGGAUAGUAGAAGAGACAUUAGCAGAAGGUCUGACCUUACCCAUACAAUGGUCCAGUGACAGGUAACGACAUAGCCAUGGCCAUUAAAGAUGACGUGUAAAAAGAUAGAUUCUGUUUUGUUUUAGUAACUUUAUUAGUGGGGGUUUCCUACUUUUUGAAAAAAAAAUCUUCCAUAUCUUCCAUUUUCACAUGAAUGGAGUCCCAACCUCUGUUCUCACUCCCAGUGGUACCCCAGUGUUUGCUGAGGGGAGAGGGGAGGGGUGGGCGUAUGCGUUCCUGGUACUACAGGAAGGCUCAGCAGAAAGAGGGCUUGGGUUGAAGGAGUUACAUGGGAAAAGGGGUUUUGCAUUCUUAAAAAUGUAUUUAUUUUUAUUCCACGUGGAAAUGGUUGUAAGCAGCCAUGUGGAUCCUGGGAAUUGAACCCAGGUCCUCUAGAAGGACAGCUAGUGCUGUUAACUGCUGAGCCAUCCCUCCACCCCACCAGGGUAGUAUUUUCAAAAGCCUUUCAGACCCUCAUGUGAUGUGGGAUGGGGUCUAGGAAAGGCACACAACGCUGCCCCUGCAGGAACUGAAACAGGCCCUGGGGAUAGAGACGGAUAAGAGGGUGGCCUUGAGAAAGAUUUAUGAAUUGACCAGAUGGGACUUGCUGACUAGUGAAGGUGACUCACGAAAGGGGGCUAUAGAGACAGAGCUCAGGGAAGGCAAAAAAUGGCACUGGGAUUUCAGAGCAGGGGACAGACAGGUGGUAGUAACACUCAGAAAGGCAGCUUGGGGAAUAAGGUAAGUUCAAAAGCAAACAUUUGGGUUACAGGUGCCUGUGUCUACACCGUGGACAAUUGGUUUUGCAGGGUGGAGUAUUUGGUGACAAAGGUCUCCUGCUGUGGCAUGUGCCAGACCGGCUAGGAUGUGAGGCAGGAAAAAAAAAGGCUUCCUGUUAGUGCCUUGCACAAGCCAAGUCUGAGUGCUGCACCAUGGCUAUGACUGAGUGUCCUGGCCCUUGACUAAGGGGAUGGGCUUCCACAGGCUGUCUCCUCCAAAUCCUCUCCUACUCUCUCUCUCUUCUCUAGCAUUCCAUGAGAGUACCAGACCUGUAUUUGGGCCUGAAGUAUCCUUCUGCCUAUUGUAUAUCAGCAGGGAAGCCACAGAUCCCAAACAGAAGAGGAAACUGAAGCCCAGACAGGGCACGGAGUUAUGGGAAUACACAACAGACAAGGGGUAGCACAUGGAGAUGCAUUCUUGGACAUACUGUAUGAUUUCCACAUUCCCCAGUAGCCUUGUUUGUGGUGGAAUAACCUGGUAUACUUGAGAGAGGCUUCUGUGUGGAUGAGGAUCUUCUGGCCUGUAGCACCUUGUACAUCACCAUUAGGAGCUGCAUGUCGAGCGUCUCCAUGCUCCUCAGAAUGGGUGACCCAGCCAGGCAGGCCCUGGCCACUAGAUCCUUAGGUUAUUCUAGAAUCCAAGGAUAUAAUCUCCAGUGGCUGUGCCAAAUGAUUAUGUCAG
rnacentral:lncRNA from 1 species